AUUGAACGCUGGCGGCAUGCCUUACACAUGCAAGUCGAACGGUAACAGGUCUUCGGAUGCUGACGAGUGGCGAACGGGUGAGUAAUAUAUCGGAACGUGCCCAGUAGUGGGGGAUAACUGCUCGAAAGAGCAGAUAAUACCGCAUACGACCUGAGGGAGAAAGGGGGGGAUCGCAAGACCUCUCGCUAUUGGAUCGGCCGAUAGCCGAUUAGCUAGUUGGGGGGGUAAAGGCCUACCAAGGCAACGGUCUGUAGUUGGUCUGAGAGGACGACCAGCCACACUGGGACUGAGAAACGGGCCAGACUCCUACGGGAGGCAGCAGUGGGGAAUUUUGGACAAUGGGCGCAAGCCUGAUCCAGCAAUGCCGCGUGCAGGAAGAAGGCCUUCGGGUUGUAAACUGCUUUUGUCAGGGAAGAAAUCUUCUGGGCUAAUACCCCGGGAGGAUGACGGUACCUGAAGAAUAAGCACCGGCUAACUACGUGCCAGCAGCCGCCGUAA
rnacentral:rRNA from 1 species